GGCAGCGCGGACUUCGGUCUGGCGGCGAGUGGCGAACGGGUGAGUAAUAUAUCGGAACGUGCCCAGUAGCGGGGGAUAACUACUCGAAAGAGUAGCUAAUACCGCAUACGCCCUACGGGGGAAAGGGGGGGAUCGCAAGACCUCUCACUAUUGGAGCGGCCGAUAUCGGAUUAGCUAGUUGGUGGGGUAAAGGCCCACCAAGGCGACGAUCCGUAGCUGGUUUGAGAGGACGACCAGCCACACUGGGACUGAGACACGGCCCAGACUCCUACGGGAGGCAGCAGUGGGGAAUUUUGGACAAUGGGGGAAACCCUGAUCCAGCCAUUCCGCGUGUGCGAUGAAGGCCUUCGGGUUGUAAAGCACUUUUGGCAGGAAAGAAAUCGCACAAAUUAAUACUUUGUGUGGAUGACGGUACCUGCAGAAUAAGCACCGGCUAACUACGUGCCAGCAGCCGCGGUAAUACGUAGGGUGCAAGCGUUAAUCGGAAUUACUGGGCGUAAAGCGUGCGCAGGCGGUUCGGAAAGAGAGGUGUGAAAUCCCAGGGCUUAACCUUGGAACUGCACUUUUAACUCCCGAGCUAGAGUAUGUCAGAGGGGGGUGGAAUUCCGCGUGUAGCAGUGAAAUGCGUAGAUAUGCGGAGGAACACCGAUGGCGAAGGCAGCCCCCUGGGAUAAUACUGACGCUCAUGCACGAAAGCGUGGGGAGCAGACAGGAUUAAAUACCCUGGUAGUCCACGCCCUAAACGAUGUCAACUAGCUGUUGGGGGCUUCGGCCCUUA
rnacentral:rRNA from 1 species